rnacentral:rRNA from 1 species
UACGUAGGGGGCAAGCGUUGUCCGGAUUUAUUGGGCGUAAAGAGCGUGUAGGCGGCCAGAUAGGUCUGUUGUGAAAACUCGAGGCUCAACCUCGAGACGCCGAUGGAAACCAUUUGGCUAGAGUCCGGAAGAGGAGAGUGGAAUUCCUGGUGUAGCGGUGAAAUGCGCAGAUAUCAGGAAGAACACCCGUGGCUAAGGCGGCUCUCUAGUACGGUACUGACGCUGAGACGCGAAAGCGUGGGAGCGAACAGG